rnacentral:rRNA from 1 species
CUCGUAGGUGGCCAACUAAGUCAGACGCGAAAUCCCUCAGCUUAACUGGGGAACUGCGUCUGAUACUGGAUGGCUUGAGUUUGGGAGAGGGAUGCGGAAUUCCAGGUGUAGCGGUGAAAUGCGUAGAUAUCUGGAGGAACACCGGUGGCGAAGGCGGCAUCCUGGACCAAUACUGACACUGAGGAGCGAAAGCCAGGGGAGCAAACG